rnacentral:misc_RNA from 1 species
AACGCACAUUGCGCUCCUCGGUAUUCCGGGGAGCAUGCCUGUUCGAGCGUCAUUACCCCCCUCAAGCGUAGCUUGGUCUUGGGCAGCACCGCUCGUCGGUGAGUCCGAAAAACAGUGGCGGUCCGGCGCGACUCCGAACGUAGUAAAUAUCAUCGUUUGGGAGAGUUGUGCGGCGAUCAGCCAGCAAAUCGAUUGAGCAAUCAAUCUUCUGAAAUUGACCUCGGAUCAGGUAGGGAUACCCGCUGAACUUAA